rnacentral:rRNA from 1 species
AUUGAACGCUGGCGGCAGGCCUAACACAUGCAAGUCGAGCGGAUGAGAGGAGCUUGCUUCUCGAUUCAGCGGCGGACGGGUGAGUAAUGCCUAGGAAUCUGCCUGGUAGUGGGGGACAACGUUUCGAAAGGAACGCUAAUACCGCAUACGUCCUACGGGAGAAAGCAGGGGACCUUCGGGCCUUGCGCUAUCAGAUGAGCCUAGGUCGGAUUAGCUAGUCGGUGCGGUAAUGGCUCACCAAGGCGACGAUCCGUUACUGGUCUGAGCGGAUGAUCAGUCACACUGGAACUGAGACACGGUCCAGACUCCUCCGGGAGGCAGCAGUGGGGAAUAUUGGACAAUGGGCGCAAGCCUGAUCCAGCCAUGCCGCGUGUGUGAAGAAGGUCUUCGGAUUGUAAAGCACUUUAAGUUGGGAGGAAGGGUUGUAGAUUAAUACUCUGCAAUUUUGACGUUACCGACAGAAUAAGCACCGGCUAACUCUGUGCCAGCCGCCGCCGUAACAC